rnacentral:rRNA from 1 species
AUUGAACGCUGGCGGCAUGCUUUACGCAUGCAAGUCGAACGGCAGCGCGGGCUUCGGCCUGGCGGCGAGUGGCGAACGGGUGAGUAAUACAUCGGAACGUGCCCAGUAGUGGGGGAUAGCUCGGCGAAAGCCGGAUUAAUACCGCAUACGACCUGAGGGUGAAAGCGGGGGAUCUUCGGACCUCGCGCUAAUGGAGCGGCCGAUGGCAGAUUAGCUAGUUGGUGGGGUAAAGGCCUACCAAGGCGACGAUCUGUAGCUGGUCUGAGAGGACGACCAGCCACACUGGGACUGAGACACGGCCCAGACUCCUACGGGAGGCAGCAGUGGGGAAUUUUGGACAAUGGGCGAAAGCCUGAUCCAGCAAUGCCGCGUGUGUGAUGAAGGCCUUCGGGUUGUAAAGCACUUUUGGCGGGAACGAAAAGGACUGUGCCAAUACCACGGUUCGAUGACGGUACCCGCAGAAUAAGCACCGGCUAACUACGUG